CUUUGCCGAUUGCGAAACGUGAUUGGUAAACGGUUUGCCAGAAUAUACCCUGACCGAGCAUUCCGUCUCAUUGAGCAUGCAGUCUCUGUGUGAGGGCUACCCAGACAGGCAAUGCACUCACUACGUUAUUUGCUCUUUUAAGAACUCAUCUCUUAGAAAUACACUCUUUUAGGCUUGUCGGAUGGCAGCAGGGGAUCAGCUGGAACCUCUGUUCAAUUCGGUAGGAACGGCAAAUCAGCCGAGCAGAGAGGUUGAUGGUUCAGCUUGAUCUACUGUGAGGCGUUUCUACGCCCCACUUGGUAUUCAAUGGGCCUAAAAUCCCUGGCCAUUGGCCCUAAGGAAGCCCAGGUGAGGCACAAUCAAGCCCCGAAAGUGACAGUGGAAACGCGACUGGCCCUGACAUGCACUAGCACGCGUGCUUUUGGCCCGACAGUGGAAACGUGGCUAUUGGUAGGGUUUAUGGCGAUGGGAACAGAAGAGCACACACCUCAGCCGAAGGAACAACUGGUAGGUACAUCAGGUAAAUAUCCUUAGGAACAAUCAAGGAACACCAGGAAUCAACACCGAGAAACAUGGUGAGUGGGUAAUACAAUAUUUCCCAGUUUAUAGCCAGACCAUGAGUGAAACUAAGGUGUGUGCUUAAAUAGGGAGCUGAUGUGGAGAUUAAUAGAAAACAGGAGCAGGUGAUGGCGCGUGUGCAGGAGGGAACCAAGAAGGAUUCUGGGAAAUGCAGUGCUGGAGACUGGGCUGGUGACUGGAGAUCGUGACACCAAUAAAUUACAUAUACAAUAUGUCCCGGUGGAACACCCAGAUCCAAACUGUUUCCAGACCAGAUGGUCACUGUAGCCACCAAGAUCCAGGCCAUAUCUACACCAGAUGGUUGAUCAGCACCUAGAGAUGACCUCUACAGCCCUGAAUUUCAGUGGAGACCAUGUCAGCUUGAUGAGACCCAGACAGAUCCCCUGCAAAGACCUCGUCAACAGGACGGCCAUCAGGACAAGACCACAGGAACCAGUCCUCUGCACAAUCUGACCUGUGUUGAAGCCUGAAAUUAAACCAUACCAUGCUGGUUUUGUCUGGCCAGAGGAGAACUCGGCCCCCCACUAAGCUUGGUUUCUCCUAACUUUUUAUUUUUUCCAUUUCUGUCAUGGAUUGGUUCCUUGCCACUGUCGCCUUUGGCUUGCUUAGUUGGGGAGGCUUAAUUUAUGGCAAUAUUGUUGGCUUGACUGCACAGACACUAUUGGAAGAGAGUGUAAUAGCGCCCCCUACCGGAUAGCAAUGAAAACAUGGAUUCUCAGAGCACAAGUAUAACUGAAA